GAAAUUAUGCGGAUGUUAAUAAUUAUGUUGUUGUCUUUUAGUUUUGUUUAGGGUUAGAACUUUCUAUUACAUGGUUGCCUUUUUAUCUAUUACAUGGUUUCCCUUUUAUAUUUUUUUUUUAUUAAAUUCUAAUAUUCGACCCAUUGACCGAUCAAUCGAGUUGAGAAAUUAUCGGAGUUAACCUUUUAUUUUUCUUCCAAUGUUGUCGUGGGAUCGAACUCUUGGCCUACGAGACAACCUUUCUACCUUUUGUAUUUAGUUACAUUAGUCAAUUAGGGUUUUUAGUUUUUU
rnacentral:lncRNA from 1 species